CUUGGCACAUAGCAGAUGCUCAGUUGUUAAUAUUAUACUCUUUUCACUCUUGCGUGGGUGAUGAGGGCUCUGGGUGCAUCAGAGGUGGCUGUCCCCUGCCCCCAGCCCCCAGUAAAUCUGGCCUUAAGAGUCCCCAAGGGAACACACAGGACACAUGGGGGCCUCGGGGCUGGGGUGGCUCCUUGAGGCUCUGACCGUUUUCUGUCUUCCCUUUCUUCUCAAGCUACAAUAAUUUAACAGCCUCGGGAGCGAAAAGAUAGCUGGGGGAGCAAACGUGGAAGCACUGAAAUUAAAGUUAAAUUGGAAUAAAUUAAAUUAACUGGCAACUGUCCGGUGCUCACCCCUCAGUCCAAAUUACUGUGGUGCGUUUCUGGCUGCAAAGGAGAGGGCUUAGGCAGUGGAUCCUGGCGCUUCCUGGCAGCUCCCCCAGAAGCCGGAGUGUGGGGAGCUCUGGGUUCCCCACUUGCCCCGAGGAGGCGAAUGCCUCUGGCAACUUCUCCUAGCUCAGGGAGGAAAUGGGGGGAGCACAGGUAGCCCGAGGCUCAAGCUGGCCGCGCCCACCUCUGUCUCUCCACACUUCCUGCUUCCACCACCAGGCCGCUGGCACCGUGGGGCGUGACCCCGAGACAGAUAAUCCCCAGCUCCCGGCCCCUCUGCUUAAGGAGGUGCAAGCCUGACUGGUAGCCAUGGGGCCUAGAGCACCCACUAGGUUCACAGAGAUCUUGACCCCUUGGGCUUCUAAGGCCUAAGUUAGAAUUGGGGGAAGUGGGAGUCCCAGCUGCCCCGGCUGCCCCGGCUGCCCCGUCGUCUCUCCUAGGCUGCCCUACAUUCAGGACAAAGCAAACCAGAUUCCAGACCAGGCUGAGGCUCACGGGCUCUGCUUCCUUCAGCUUUCCAUCCAGUUCCCCCAGGGUUCAAAGAAGAAAAUUCGCCACAAGCACAGAAUUCUUUCAAGUCCCGGCUUUUAAAUCCAUGUGCACGUUCCGUUCUGCUCGGAUCAUUCUGGCGGCUGUGUGGCAAAUGGAGCAUUUGGGAGCAAGAGAAGAACAAAGGAGGCCAGGAAGGAGACUCUCACAGAGGCCCUAAGAAAAUGUGGUGGCUUGGACUGGAGGGUAACGAUGAAUAUUGUGAGACGUAGUGAUUUGGGGGUGUGUUUUGAAGAUGUGACUGCAAGAAUAUGCCAUUAAAUUAGAUUUAAGAUUUAGAGAGAGAAAUCAAACAAUUGGGACAAUAGAUGGACAAAGCUGUCAUUUUCUUGAAUGGGAAACACUGGGGAAGGAGCAGCUUUGAGAGAAAAGUGGAGUUUGGUUUGGGAUAUGUUAACUUUGGGUUUUCUAUUAGACAUGCAAUUAGAGAAGGCAACUGGAUGUUUGAGUCUGGAGUCAGGGUGGAGGUCAGGGCUGGAGACAACUGAGAAGUCCUCAGCACAUGAUAUUUAAAGUCUUGGGACUGGAAGAGAUCACUUAGAAAGUGAGGGAGGAGAGAGAGGAGAAGAGAUCUGAGCCUGAGUCCUGGGUCUUUGCAGCACCUGGAGGUUAUGAAGAUGAGAAGGAUCCAGCACAGAAGACUGAGAAGGAAUAGCCAGCAGAGUAGACACAGCAGGAGAGGAGAGGGUGGACACAACAGGAGAGGAGAGGGUGGACACAGCAG
ensembl:lncRNA